rnacentral:lncRNA from 1 species
AUGAUAACUUUUCUACCCAUCAUUUUUUCCAUUCUAGUAGUGGUUACAUUUGUUCUUGGGAAUUUUGCUAAUGGCUUCAUAGUGUUGGUAAAUUCCAUUGAGUGGGUCAAGAGACAAAAGAUCUCCUUUGCUGACCAAAUUCUCACUGCUCUGGCAGUCUCCAGAGUUGGUUUGCUCUGGGUAAUAUUAUUACAUUGGUAUGCAACUGUUUUGAAUCCAGGUUCAUAUAGUUUAGGAGUAAGAAUUACUACUAUUAAUGCCUGGGCUGUAACCAACCAUUUCAGCAUCUGGGUUGCUACUAGCCUCAGCAUAUUUUAUUUCCUCAAGAUUGCCAAUUUCUCCAACUUUAUUUUUCUUCACUUAAAAAGGAGAAUUAAGAGUGUCAUUCCAGUGAUACUAUUGGGGUCUUUGUUAUUUUUGGUUUGUCAUCUUGUUGUGGUAAACAUGGAUGAGAGUAUGUGGACAAAAGAAUAUGAAGGAAACGUGAGUUGGGAGAUCAAAUUGAGUGAUCCGACGCACCUUUCAGAUAUGACUGUAACCACGCUUGCAAACUUAAUACCCUUUACUCUGUCCCUGUUAUCUUUUCUGCUCUUAAUCUGUUCUUUGUGUAAACAUCUCAAGAAGAUGCAGUUCCAUGGCAAAGGAUCUCCAGAUUCCAACACCAAGGUCCACAUAAAAGCUUUGCAAACGGUGACCUCCUUCCUCUUGUUAUUUGCUGUUUACUUUCUGUCCCUAAUCACAUCGAUUUGGAAUUUUAGGAGGAGGCUGUAGAACGAACCUGUCCUCAUGCUCAGCCAAACUACUGCAAUUAUAUACCCUUCAUUUCAUUCAUUCAUCCUAAUUUGGGGAAGCAAGAAGCUGAAACAGACCUUUCUUUUGAUUUUGUGUCAGAUUAAGUGCUGAGUAAAAGACCUGAAACUCUCAAAUU